rnacentral:rRNA from 1 species
UACGGGGGGGGGCAAGCGUUUGUUCGGAAUUACUGGGCGUAAAGGGCUCGUAGGCGGCCAACUAAGUCAGACGUGAAAUCCCUGGGCUCAACCCAGGAACUGCGUCCGAUACUGGUUGGCUUGAAUCCGGGAGAGGGAUGUGGAAUUCCAGGUGUAGCGGUGAAAUGCGUAGAUAUCUGGAGGAACACCGGUGGCGAAGGCGACAUCCUGGACCGGUAUUGACGCUGAGGCGCGAAAGCCAGGGGAGCAAACGGGG